CACACACACACUCUCACCGGGGCAAGCUGAUAUCGGGCUUUGUUUAUUUACAGAGUGUGGGAGUUCCAAGGUUUUAAGGACGGGUUGAUGUGGGAGCAGAGUCCCAGGGGAGGAUUAUCCUGCAGCCAGACCUAAUGUCCAGCCCCAAGGGAGAGGGGCCAGGCAAGGCCAACGGAGGGUCCGGGCCCAGACCUAGCAAGGCAGUGGCCGCAGUGGGAAUGCGCUGUUCACUAGGAAUCACCUACCUGGCUCCAUGUCUGGGUUCUGAUGGGUGAGUAAGAGUUUUCUGGACUGAAGUGGGAGUCAAGGCUGCAGCACAGGGUCGUCCUAACACUCAGAGGCUGAGUCUAUGGUGGGGAGAAUUGGUCUGAAUCGUCACCCACUGGGAAGGAAGAGCCGCACAGGCUCACGCCAUUCCCUUCCUCCCUUCCUGGGGUUUGCCUGCCCUCGUCCCUGCGCUGGAGUGGGUGUGGGGGCGCUGCCGAGGACGACGGGGUGACUGCUGCACAGAGCUCUUGGGCUGGUGGGGCAGACAGACAGGCGGGUGACCAAGCACAGAGUAGCAGGGAAGGGGGCACCGGCGUGGCCCAGGACACUCGGGGACACCAUCAGAGCAGGUGGUUUUGAAGCUGGAUCCCAAAGGAGUAAGUAGGGAUCUACAAAAGAGCCUGUGGAAUAAAUGACUCUGCAACCACCACAAUCCCUGGAGAGGAGGGAAAGGUGUUUUUGAGCUUGGCCCAUUCCGUGGAGUUCGGAAGACUCUUUUUAUUUAAUGUCCCCAGUUUGGCCAAUCUGCCAAAGGUUUAAGCAGAGGAAAGAGAAGUUUCUGUUCCUCCGACUCCCCUUAUCACUCCUAGUGGUUUUCCUUGAACCAUAAAUCAAAUGCUGAGCCUCCCUGCGCACACUUCCCGAGUGCGGGCGCUCGGGCCUCCGAGCCCCGUGUCCAGAGCUCCGGGCAUCCCGCCCUCCACUCACCCUUCCCCCAGGCCCGCCUUUCCCCGCGGCCCUCCCGGCUGUCUGUGAUGUUAACAUCGAAGGACAAAUGCAGUCGCAUAUUUCAAAGUCAUCAGGCAGAUCUGAUUAAUUUUGGAAAUGAACAACAAGAAGAUUCAUCACAAACUUUCAGGACCUUCCUCCCCCAGACACCAAUCAUGAUCCAGGUGGGCUCAGCAGGUGAGCAGACAGCAGAGGCCAAUGCCCAAAUGCAGCUGGAGAGUCAGUGUAGCCUGGACAGGUGGCAGCAAUGACGGAAGAGGUAAUGAAGUUAAUACGAGGUCAUUUGUGUGGAUCUUAAGGACUGGUGGCCUUAUAAGCAGAAGAGAUUUGGAAACAGAAAGAAAGGAGGAAACAGAAGGAAAAUAUAAAGAAGACAAUGUAAAGGGACACAGGAAGAAGAUGCCACCUGCAAGUCAAGGAGAGGGUGUGGAACAUACCCUUCCCUCACAGUUCUCAGGAGGAACACCCCUGCUGACACCUUGACUUAGACUUCCCGCCUCCAGAGCCAUGAGACGAUAUCCUUCUAUUAGGAAGACCCCUGUGACUGUCGCAGCGUGGAGGCCAGAUGGGGUGGGGAGACCGUGUCCACGGGAGCACUGAAGAGGCUCAGGGAAGAUUCCAGAGCUGUUCAGGAGGCAUCACUGCUGCGAUGAACUGAGCAACAAGCAGCACAAAAGGUUCUCGAAGUUGGACUUGCUGACAGCGCUCGGGGAUUGGAGCGGGAGAAAGUCACGGAUUCCUCCUCCUCCCGUGUGGAGAAAUUCUUUGGCAGAAUUAGCGGUGCUCCCUGGGAAAUUCGCUCUGCAAAUAGGUUCGUUUUUGAGUGGGUUACUCAUCUUGCAUCAAAUUAUCAAAUUAGACCCCACAAAUCACAGCCAACUCUCCCUUGACAGACAGCCUUGGCGCUGGGCUCAGCUCUCUUCCGGGCAGUCUCCCUGUAGUCCUGAAAAUCUCUUCUUUCCUGGCAUUCACCGACAUCUCUGUUGCUAUCCUCCAUGUUUUCCUUUUGGAAAAUGCAUAAAUGCCACUCUGAGAACGGAGCACGCACAGGGGGCUGCCCUGCGUGACCUUGGACUCCCGGCUGGGCCUGGCCAGAGCUUCCCCCACAGAACCCAAAGUCUGAGGAGGCACGAAAUAAAUACCCUGACAUUUCAUCACAUGCUCCCGUCUUUAAAAAAUACUUAUACAAAUUUGUACUCCAUGCCAUACAAUAUGCACAUCUGUUUUAGUAUAAAAUAUUUCCACCUCCUUCCUCCAAACCCGAAGUUAUAGGAAGAAGUGCACGUUUAUCCUGUAACUUUGAGUAGCCCACUUCAUGCAUGUCUGUGCAUCUCAGCUGGGAGCCACUCCCACCUAAAAGUGUUCAUUGUAGGAUCCAAGGAUUUUCCAACUAAGCAGGGCUUUUUGACUAUUACCUAGAAAUGUCCUUGAAAAAUACUGUAGUACUAUUUUUUUUUUUUUUUGCAGUGAGCAUGCGUGCAUCUGAGGAUAGUCCUUAAGGGUAGGACUUUGUUCAUCUUUGGAUCUCCCACAAACCUAGCACAAGACCUAGCACACAGGAGGCCUUUGGUUAAGAUUUGUGAAUUUUGUUUUAUAAAGACCCCUUCACUGGAUCAACGGCAUGCCGGGGGCCUCCUCUGUCUCAGGCUUUCCUUUGGGUGCUGGAGACAGUGAAAGCGGGAGACGCAGUCCUGUCCUCUGGUCUGCUGGCUAUGAACAGAGGGCCAUAGGGGGAAACAAUGGGUGAAGGAUUCUGUCAAGUGUCAUCAAGACCCUUGUACAAGGAGUUUGGCUCAUUCUCUAAUUUGUGGAGCUUUGUAUUCAGGCUGGCCCAGAGGGGUUGCAGUCUAACUUCAGGAGCUUAGAAUUACAGAAUUUCAGAGCUAGUAAGCCCUUAAUGUCACCCAGCCCAGCUCCAUUUGGAGCUGUAGAGCCUCUGACGACCUGCUCGUGGCCCUCUGAACUCACCCGAUCCCCAAGCCACCAGCCUCAUGGCUGUGAGAAAGCAGCUCUGUAAACUCGCCUGGAUUUCCCCCACUGGUCCUCCCUCAGGGCUACACAGGGCAAGCCUGCUCACCCCUGUGCAAGGCAGCCCUUCAGGUAUCUGCAGGUAGCGCUCAGACCUUCCUGGGGACUUUCUGGUCUUAAACAGUCCCUAUUCCAUCAGCUGUGCAUUCAAACAGAUAGAUGGACUUUAAGGAAGUUGAAGCUUAGGGGACAUACAUCAUAACAACAGCCUUCCUGCGGCAAGAAUCCCUUCAAUGACAUCUUUGGGAAGAGGACUCUAGCAUGUGCUUAGCCACUGAAAGUAACAGUGGUGGUUGGGGGAUGGGGUCUCGUUACUCCCGAGAGGCAGCCCACUGCUUUGCUUGACAUAUGUCCUGCCACCAGGGCCUUCCCCGUAGUGAUCUGGUGUCUGCCUCCUCCCUCUCCUUCCACUGGUCCAGGGAUCACUGACCAAAUGCCGCCUUCCCUAACCCUGCACCACCGAAUCCCAGAAUCCCCCAAAUCUCAGUAUGAAGGGUCCUCUCAAAAGAUUGAAAGACAUAUACUUAACAGUAUGAAUUUAUAAUCACAGCACAGUCAGUUGGGGAAAUUCUUUAACCCCGGGGAAAUCACAGGCUGGAAAAAUCACUUAAAUGCAACAUCCACCACCGCUACUAUCAACAGCGUUCCACCACGUGCUGAUGUGGGAGCGCCUGGCUGUCAUGUUGCGUCCUCGUGGGAGACAGCGCUGGCUGCUCAACACCUGUUCUCCAAACACAGAGCUGGGAGUGGUCCCGGAUUAACAGCCCUCCCCCAGCU